AGAGCCGUUUCUUCACUAGAUACUUUCCCUCCAGUGUCCCAGUAUUGGUGGCCACAGUGGGAGCCCCUUACAGCUGGCUCUUGAGUCUUGUUGACACAUCCCAUCAUUCUUUGGCACCAGUGCUAUGAUUGAUGGCUGCACGGAAUACCCUUACUGGCCCAAACCAAAGGCCCAUCCAGCUUAGUCUGCCUGAGAAGGACCAAAGGUGAGUGCUGUAGAAGACCCUCCCCCACGCUCUCACCUCGAAAACUUACAGGGAGAACCUCAUCUUGCCUAGCUCACAUUCAUACCCCCAUCUUUCUGUUGCAGCUGACGUAGCUUUCCAUGUUUUCUGCCUGAGAGAACCUGUGCAGCUCUCCACUGGCACAGUGAAAGCAUCUCCUAGGGGUGAGUUCAAAACAGUUCCCUGACAUGUCUUGGAAAUAGUGCUACUGGGGACAAAAUCAAAACUAAUGUUACCUGGGGCAAUGGGAAGUGCGUUCUGCAUGUAAUUUACACUGGAACUUGAUAUGACUACUGUAAAAACUAUAAAUGAAUAUGAUCCUUAGUUAAAAGAUUUAUGUGCGACUGGAAGAAAAUGGAGUAAUAUGUUCACCACAGUGAAAAGCAAUGGUGGCAACGAGCUUUCUGUAUGGAGGGGCUUAGGGUUGGUAAUCUGGUGGGAAGAGGGAGCUAGAAGAAAGUCUUGAAGCUGCAUAUGCAGAAGAAGGACACAUUUGUAUUUGGAGCAUAUGUUUCCUUGGGGCAGCUUUCAGGAAGAGGGCAGUGCUAAAGCCCACCCAAACCACCCCCUGGUGCCACUGCUGUCUGAGUGGUAGAAUUAAAAGUAGUUCUAAUUUUCUCACUUACU
rnacentral:lncRNA from 1 species